rnacentral:rRNA from 1 species
UACGAAGGGGGCUAGCGUUGUCCGGAAUUAUUGGGCGUAAAGAGCUCGUAGGCGGUCUGUCGCGUCGAUCGUGAAAACUUGGGGCUUAACCCUGAGCUUGCGGUCGAUACGGGCAUGACUGGAGUUCGGCAGGGGAGACUGGAAUUCCUGGUGUAGCGGUGAAAUGCGCAGAUAUCAGGAGGAACACCGGUGGCGAAGGCGGGUCUCUGGGCCGAUACUGACGCUGAGGAGCGAAAGCGUGGGGAGCGAACAGG